rnacentral:lncRNA from 1 species
AUGGUUACCCUGACACGGGGACCAGGAAGGUGGCAGGGAGUGAAAUCCAGGGAUUCCAGCAGCAUCCAAGAGAUGGGGAGGAAUGGAUUUGGGGCUCGGGGUGGCCCUGCCCCACCCAGAUUUUCCACACCUCCCAGCCUCUCUCUUGUCAGGGCAAGGGGCUCAAGAGCAUGGCCAGGAGCCCAGGAACCAGGAUAUGGAGGUGGGGAGGCCCCAGCCCUGUGGGAGGCCAGACCCCUGGUUGAGAGAUGGGACAGAGCCCGAGAAUCAGGUUUCCACCCCCGGAGCGGCUCCUGUUUCCCUUGGCUCACAGCCCCCCCCUCCCCGGCCAUCCGGUGGAGCCUGCUCGGCCCGGUCCGGAUCACCCGGGAUCCAGCCGGGCAGCCCAGAAGCUGCAGGGCUGGCCAGAGUGGGCGGGCAGGGCCGGAUGGCAGCCGGAUGUCUCCCGGGAGCGGCGACAGCCUCUCCGACCCGUAUGGUAGCGGCAGCGGCGGUGGCGGCGAUGGCAGGUGCCUGCGUGGCGACGGGACCGGGCCCUCUCCCCGGGCGGGUGCUGAGAGGCCGCCCCUGCCUCACGCGAGCCGAACGAACAAAACGCUCAGGUCCGGUUUGUGCGAGGGGCUCGUCGCGGGGCGGGAGCGGGCGGCCCGGGGCCUGGCGGUGCCCUCGCUGGUCUCCUGGCUGGUCCCGGUCUUCCGCGAGCGCAGUUCCGCGCGGCGCUCCGCUAGCCGCCGCCCUCACCUGCGCGCCGCUGUAGCUGACACGUCGGCGGCCACCGCAGGUGCGCUUGGGCCCGCCCCUCUUCCAGGCCGCCCUCCACCCGGCCCUCCCGGUCCCUCCGCCCUGCCGGGGCCCUGUUUGGCUUGGUCCCCAGCCCACGCCCCGGAGCUUGUGCAGGAGCUGGGCUCAGCUCACUCUUAUACGGCCCGCUCAGUCUCCGCCCCUACACACACGCGCGCGCACGCACACACACACACACACACAUACACACACUCACUCACACCUGUCCCGGCGCCCGUUUGCUCGGGGCAAAUAUUGACUCAUGGAGGCGGAGCGCCCCCUCCCCCGCUCAGGCACUGA